rnacentral:rRNA from 1 species
CCUACGGGAGGCAGCAGUGGGGAAUAUUCCACAAUGAGCGAAAGCCUGACGCAGCGACGCCGCGUGCGCGAUGAAGGUCUUCGGAUCGUAAACCUCUGUCAGCAGGGAAGAACGUUCACUGUAGGAAUCAAUUGUGAAUUGACGGUACCUGCUCAGAAAACAACGGCUAACUCUGUGCCAGCAGCCGCGGUAAUCCGUAGGGGGCAAGCGUUAAUCGGAAUUAUUGGGCGUAAAGCGCUCGUAGGCGGUAUGUCAAGUCAAGGGUGAAAUCCCCGGGCUCAACGCCGGGCUCGCUUUGGAUACUGGCAAACUAGAGUUAGAUAGAGGUAAGCGGAAUUCCAGGGGAAGGGGUGAAAUGCGUAGAUAUCUGGAAGAACAUCAAAGGCGAAGGCAGCUAACUGGCUCUAAACUGACGCUGAGGGACGAAAGCGUGGGUAGCAAACAGGAUUAGAUACCCGGGUAGUC